CCUACGGGUGACAGCAGUAGGGAAUAUUGCUCAAUGGGGGAAACCCUUACGCAGCAACGCCGCGUGGGGGAUGAAGGUUUUCGGAUUGUAAACUCCUUUUGUUAGAGAAGAUAAUGACGGUAUCUAACGAAUAAGCACCGGCUAACUCCGUGCCAGCAGCCGCGGUAAUACGGAGGGUGCACGCGUUACUCGGAGUCACUGGGCGAAAAGAGCGCGUAGGCGGGAUAGCAAGUCAGAUGUGAAAUCCCAGGGCUUAACCAUAGAGCUGCAUUUGAAACUGUUAUUCUAGAGUAUGGGAGAGGUAGAUGGAAUUCUUGGUGUAGGGGUAAAAUCCGUAGAGAUCAAGAGGAAUACUCAAGGCGAAGGCGA
rnacentral:rRNA from 1 species